rnacentral:rRNA from 1 species
AUUGAACGCUGGCGGCAGGCCUAAUACACGCAAGUCGAACGGUAACAGGUCUUCGGAUGCUGACGAGUGGCGAACGGGUGAGUAAUACAUCGGAACGUGCCCGAUCGUGGGGGAUAACGAGGCGAAAGCUUUGCUAAUACCGCAUAAGAUCUAUGGAUGAAAGCAGGGGACCGCAAGGCCUUGCGCGAACGGAGCGGCCGAUGGCAGAUUAGGUAGUUGGUGGGGUAAAGGCUUACCAAGCCUACGAUCUGUAGCUGGUCUGAGAGGACGACCAGCCACACUGGGACUGAGACACGGCCCAGACUCCUACGGGAGGCAGCAGUGGGGAAUUUUGGACAAUGGGCGCAAGCCUGAUCCAGCCAUGCCGCGUGCAGGAUGAAGGCCUUCGGGUUGUAAACUGCUUUUGUACGGAACGAAAAGGUUCGGGUUAAUACCCUGGGCCCAUGACGGUACCGUAAGAAUAAGCACCGGCUAACUACGUGCCAGCAGCCGCGGUAACAC